CCUACGGGGGGCAGCAGUGGGGAAUAUUGCACAAUGGGCGCAAGCCUGAUGCAGCCAUGCCGCGUGUGUGAAGAAGGCCUUCGGGUUGUAAAGCACUUUCAGCGGGGAGGAAGGCGUUAAGGUUAAUAACCUUGGCGAUUGACGUUACCCGCAGAAGAAGCACCGGCUAACUCCGUGCCAGCGGCCGCGGUAAUACGGAGGGUGCAAGCGUUAAUCGGAAUUACUGGGCGUAAAGCGCACGCAGGCGGUCUGUCAAGUCGGAUGUGAAAUCCCCGGGCUCAACCUGGGAACUGCAUUCGAAACUGGCAGGCUAGAGUCUUGUAGAGGGGGGUAGAAUUCCAGGUGUAGCGGUGAAAUGCGUAGAGAUCUGGAGGAAUACCGGUGGCGAAGGCGGCCCCCUGGACAAAGACUGACGCUCAGGUGCGAAAGCGUGGGGAGCAAACAGGAUUAGAUACCCUAGUAGUC
rnacentral:rRNA from 1 species